GAUGAACGCUGGCGGCGUGCCUAAUACAUGCAAGUCGAGCGAACAGACGAGGAGCUUGCUCCUCUGACGUUAGCGGCGGACGGGUGAGUAACACGUGGAUAACCUACCUAUGAGACUGGGAUAACUUCGGGAAACCGGAGCUAAUACCGGAUAAUAUAUUGAACCGCAUGGUUCAAUAGUGAAAGACGGUUUUGCUGUCACUUAUAGAUGGAUCCGCGCCGCAUUAGCUAGUUGGUAAGGUAACGGCUUACCAAGGCAACGAUGCGUAGCCGACCUGAGAGGGUGAUCGGCCACACUGGAACUGAGACACGGUCCAGACUCCUACGGGAGGCAGCAGUAGGGAAUCUUCCGCAAUGGGCGAAAGCCUGACGGAGCAACGCCGCGUGAGUGAUGAAGGUCUUCGGAUCGUAAAACUCUGUUAUUAGGGAAGAACAAAUGUGUAAGUAACUAUGCACGUCUUGACGGUACCUAAUCAGAAAGCCACGGCUAACUACGU
rnacentral:rRNA from 1 species